rnacentral:rRNA from 1 species
CAGCAGCCGCGGGAAUACGAAGGGUGCAAGCGUUAAUCGGAAUUACUGGGCGUAAAGCGUGCGUAGGCGGUGAGUUAAGUCUGCUGUGAAAUCCCCGGGCUCAACCUGGGAAUGGCAGUGGAUACUGGCUCGCUAGAGUGUGUCAGAGGAUGGUGGAAUUCCCGGUGUAGCGGUGAAAUGCGUAGAGAUCGGGAGGAACAUCAGUGGCGAAGGCCGCCAUCUGGACAACACUGGCGCUGAGGCACGAAAGCGUGGGGAGCAAACAGGAUUAGAUACCCCGGUAGUCCCUGUCUCUUAUACA